rnacentral:sRNA from 1 species
UACCGAUGCGACGCCAUGUGGCACGAUG